rnacentral:rRNA from 1 species
UACGGAGGGUGCAAGCGUUAUCCGGAUUCACUGGGUUUAAAGGGUGCGUAGGUGGGCAAGUAAGUCAGUGGUGAAAUCUCCGGGCUUAACCCGGAAACUGCCAUUGAUACUAUUUGUCUUGAAUACUGUGGAGGUCAGCGGAAUAUGUCAUGUAGCGGUGAAAUGCUUAGAUAUGACAUAGAACACCAAUUGCGAAGGCAGCUGGCUACACAAAUAUUGACACUGAGACACGAAAAGCGUGGGGAUCAAACAGGAUU